rnacentral:rRNA from 1 species
GACGAAGGUGGCGAGCGUUGUUCGGAAUCACUGGGCGUAAAGCGCACGUAGGCGGUGCCGUAAGUCGGGUGUGAAAUCCCUCGGCCUAACCGAGGAACUGCGCCCGAUACUGCGGUGCUUGAGGACCAGAGGGGUGCAUGGAAUUUCCGGUGGAGCGGUGAAAUGCGUUGAUAUCGGAAGGAACUCCGGCGGCGAAAGCGAUGCACUGGCUGGUUUCUGACGCUGAGGUGCGAAAGCCAGGGGAGCAAACCGG